GUCCACGCUGUAAACGAUGUGUGCUAGACGUUGGGGAGCCUAGCUCUUCGGUGUCGCAGCUAACGCGGUAAGCACACCGCCUGGGGAGUACGGCCGCAUGGUUAAAACUCAAAGGAAUUGACGGGGGCCCGCACAAGCGGUGGAGCAUGUGGUUUAAUUCGACGCAACGCGAAGAACCUUACCAGCCCUUGACAUGUCCCGUAUGGUCCGUGGAGACGCGGUCCUUCAGUUAGGCUGGCGGGAACACAGGUGCUGCAUGGCUGUCGU
rnacentral:rRNA from 1 species